CCCUCUCCUUGUUCCAAAGUCCUCUUAUCUCUUCUCAAAAUAAAAAUAGCCCUUUCUCCCAGUAAGCCGACUUGUAAAUUCAUAUAAGAGUGAGAUAAAAAUACCAUAUUGUAUUUCCAAUUAACUCAUUUAAUUAGAUGAGGUGAAUUAAUUGGAUUUUUGGACAGGUUUCUGAAAGUCUAAGAAAUUCGCUUUUGGAAUUCCCAAGUAUUGUGGCGGCUUGGCAGCUUUCUCAGUGUGCUGCUGUCCAGGACUUGGUGUAAGACCUGUCAUUUGAAGCCUGUCAUUUGAGUUCCCCUUGGGGGUAUAAAAAUGGUCCAGUGAUUUUUCAGAUAGAAGAGCAUAAAUCAGCAGGCCAUUUGGCUUUUCCUUCAGCCCAGGGCAUUCCCCAGUUAUCACCAGCCUCAUCAGCGGAGCCUUGAGUAAACAUUUCUCUGUCCACACUGUCCAGAUGAGAUGGUAAUGGAAGGGUUCCGUUCCAACAUUCUUAGAAGGACUCUGAAGUUUUCCUCUCUGUCUCUUGUCUCACCCUGUGUAAUUUUAGGGUCCUGGGCAUGCAGGCUCUGAGUGAGGGUCCCUCUUAUGUCCUGUCAGCCAGGGCCUGGGGUCAGCCAGGGCUUGGGGAAGUUCUGGAAUUUAGACUGGGGGCAGUUUCAACCCGUAGAUCAUUCUACUUUGCACUAUAAUUACUUAGUUGUCCUCUCUCUAAAUUUGUACACCUUCCUGAGUAAAACUAGUGUAUUCUCUGGAUGUCAGAGUGCCCCUGCCCCCCCACCCCUCCCCCAACCAUCACAGUGUGCUCGAUGGGUACUUGGUAAAAUGUUGCUGUAGUCGAUGACCCCAUCGACUAGGUUCUUUCUGUAACCUAGACAUUCUAGAACCAAAGUAGGUGGGAGCAUAUUCUUGAGUUUCUUUUUUUUUUAGUAUGGUCUUUUUCAAGUAUAGGUCCAAGGAGCCAGACAAAAAAUAUUUGGGGACAAAGUAGACAACACCUUCUUUCAUUGUGGGAAAAUGCUCCUGAUAGGUUUUUUCUCUCGGCCAUUGGCCUCCAAAUAUCUUUUAAUCACAAAGUUUUGGGGAUGUCUCACACUUUAUAUCCUACUUGGACACAAAUCAGUAAGUCUUGUCUCUCUGUGUAUUUUUUGCUGGUGCCCCAGGUGUUAGCACAAGGAGUAGAUAGUAGAUUCUUACGAAGUACUUGUUAAAGGAGUGUCUUUAGUCAUAGUGGCCUGCUAGUGCAGAAAGACUUUUGGAAUUAAAUUAUCGGAGUUAUUUAAUUUUGUUCAGAGUAAACAGUCCAAAGGGCAUGCUGAAUAGAAAAAUAAGAAUACAAAAAAGUUUAGAAGGACCUCCCCUGACACACACCAACACACCACUCCUUCAGGUUCAGCAUAGUAGGGUAGAGUUAGAGAGUCAUCAAAAUUAGAUGAUGUCUGGCAGCUUUGAAGUGACUGGCACCUUUGUCAUUCUGCUACUAGUAGGUUCCUGGCCCUACCUCUGUGAUAUCCCUACAAGCCUGCUUUAUGGAACUUGAACUGCCCUGUUGUCUAGGAUGGGGCUGAAGUCCUGGCCACGGGGAGUAUCUGGCUUCCUUCUGGGGCGCAGGCUGGAUGAGUGGAGUCAUUGAGGAGAAUCAGGGUGGAGCUCCCGAGGCAUCUGCACAAUCCGAGAACCCUUUGUUCAUUCCUUUGGUCCUUCAUCUGCCCCCGCAAGGAAGGGACCGACUGCCGCUGGGACCAGCCCCUCAAUGGGGCGCUGGCAUGCCGUGCUCAGCCAGCCACGCGUGGCACCGUCAGCUGUUUCGGACCGUAACCCCGUGACGUACACAGGGCAUACAGUUCUGUGGCCUCAUCCGCCGGGGAUGUGCGGCUUUCAACCCCGGGCUCAUCCCUCUGCCACUUGCUUGUUUCCUGCAGGCCUGUGACUGACACUUCUCCGCAGAGCAGCACCUGGCACCUCCCACUACCACUCCGAGGACGAUUUCCCACACCUCCUUUGCAGGGCCACCAGAGGCUUGUUGUGGCUGCGAGGGGCGGGAAGGGGGGCUGGGGGGCUCCCUCUCAAAGCCCUCCCUCUAGUCUGAGUCACCCCAUCCUACUCUCUGCUUCCUUUUAGUUACUCUUUUUUCAGUAGCCUCCCUUCCUCCUGUGAAGGCUCGUGCUUGUGCAGGUGCGCACGCGCGUGAAACCCACAGACAUUCACUCACACUCUUCCUGCCUCCUGACUCUGCCUGGUCCUACGUCGGGCCCUCCGACUGCCCUUGGAGUGGCGAUGCCCUGGCGCAUGAGGGUUCUCAGGCCAGAAGCGCGAUUUUACGUUUAACAUCUGAGAUAGAGCCACCCAAGGGUUACAGCAUAAACCACAAUCUGCCCAAAGACCAAAGUCCACGCACGAGCCAAAGAGACUAUUAGUUUUGUGUAAAGCAAUAAAAUGGAAGCUUUCCCUGAAGCAGGGCUACUCUGAGACUUGGAAUUGCAAACAGUGUAAGCUGGGGUGUGACCCCUUAAGGAGGUGAUCUGGAAAAGGUUUGUUGACAGUCUUCCUGGAAAGUUGGUUGCCAGAUACAGUUGCAGGCUCUCACCUUAUUUCACAUGGUGCUUUCACAAUGUUUAUUUUCUGUCUUGGCUCUAGUGAGUACAAAUCAUAAUGAGCAAGAUGAUAUCCAAGUCUGACCAGGCUGGAGAGUGGGUCUUCCUGUGAUUCGAUCAAAAGCAAACAAAAACCAAAAGCAAAGAAAAAGAAAAGGAAGGGUGCUGAUGUUUUCCUCAUUGUGGGACUAAAUUGCUGCAUGCUGAAUUUUCACUUUCUGAUUGCAACUGACAGUUGAGCAGAUACAAUUUAUUUCUUUGGGGGUCUGGAAAAAAUGGCUUUAUAUUUCCAUGAACACUGGCAUUAAAACAAGUCUAUGAAUGACCUUGUUCAAGUGUCUUUUGCUGAUUUCAGCUCCCAAGUAAUAAGCUUAGCAGUGUUUUCUUUCUCAGCCGCCAGCCGGAGGAAAGACGCAGUUGUUGCUUGAGACAUUCACUUUCUACCUGCUGGCUUCAAACAGUAUUAAUUUUUAUGUGCUCCUUGUGCAUUGCGUUUAAUUAAAAGCAGUUCUAUUCGCAGAGGUACUUGUAGGUUUUUUUUUCUCUCCCUGAAACGAAUAAAACAAAUAGGCAUCUGGUAUUUGUUUUGUAUAACACAAUUUCCAUAAAAUGAAGAGUAAUAAAACAUAAUUAUCUGUAAAGGCUUGUUUUAUAAGCUUGAGAAUGGGCUUGUUGCUACUAGGUUUUUAAAUUUCACGAUAGAGAAUUCUUUGCCUAUUAAUAUAUAACAAUCAUCAUGACAAAAGCUUCCCAAUUUCGCGCAUGAAUCCAGCUCAUCUUUUAUUAAAUAAAUAUUUUAUUUUCUGUUGUAGUGUACAUGAUAGAAGUUUAUCAUCACAUUCCUUCUAGGGAAACACAUUUGAUUGAAGGAAAAUAUUUAUUUCCUCUUCUGUAUUUUGUUUGAUUGGUAUAGCUUUUUACAUGAUAUUUCCCUAUGAUUAAAGUAAGACCGUUUUAUUGUUAGUUGCUGAAUUUCACAGGUCACAGUCCCCUCUAUGGAUUCUAAAACCUCCUUUUAGAAAAGUACACUUCAAACUUUUACAUAGGUUUUUAUAGGGUUUAUAGGCCUAUACCCCUUGGUUCAAGAACUCUGCCAAUGCCCGGUGGUUAUGGAGACUGUGCUCAUUACUAUCUGAAGCUGCGGUUUUAGCUUUGGUAUAUGAAUAGCGGAUGAAAGGAUGUUGCCCGAAGAUAUUGCCGUGUUGGAUUUAAUUUAGGGGUUAGGCUCCUUUCUAGGGAUGGAGGUAUACUCUCCUGUGAGGAAAAAAAAAUUAGAAUGUGGGAAGUACAAAAAUUAAUUUCAGAGGUGGGUUUGUUGUCAGAUUGCAUGGCAGUGUCUGCAUCCCUGGGGCUUCUGUCCCCAAGAUUGUUUUUAUUGUCUCCGCCCUGAACUAGGCAGGAACCUGGAAGUGGUGAAUUCGUUCUCUGAGGUUGUGUGUCCAUUGCCGAGAGGAUAAAAGGAGCAGGAACAGAAUCACGCAGCGCAGUAUAUCAGGGUGACAGUGUUAUGUGGUUGUCUGGUGUUGCACAGUCUUGUAUGUGCUGUCAAACCUUUUCUUUUGAAUCAAAGCACAGGGUUUUACUGGGGAAGAGAGGCUUCAGAAAUAAGCCAGUCUAACCCCAAAUGGAACUCCUAAACAGUUACCCCAUUUGUCUACCCUUCAGCUAAUUGCUUAUAGGAAGUAAAAGCACCGAGCAGUGUAGCUAAUAUUUAUAUCCAGUGUGAGCACUGAUUCCUGAUUUUAGAUUUCCGACACUAAAACGUUAUCUUUUUGCAUUGCAAUGAUCCUGCAGCCUUUAUAUUACUAUGAAUGCAAGUCAAAUGAAAGAGGCACAGACACUAGGUUCUCCCCUUCAUGUUGUCAUCUAUUGGACAAUGAGUAGCUUCAAAUAAGAGCAUCGGUUCCAAAGGCAAGCUGAAUAUUCCGAUUCUAGAUCGGCAGUCCCUUGGCGUGCUUAUUUGAAAUAUCACUUUUGAAUAUACUUGGCAACGUAAAGUGCCCAAUUAGAAAGCUCUAAGGAAAGAGGAAGUCUGCGGCUGUGCAAUUAGUCCUUCGGAUUCCGAGCGUUUCCUUUAUACCUGGAAGGCCACACUGGAAAGUCGCUGGGCACCGUCGCUAUGGGCCGGGUGCUUAGGAUGGAAGGCAGUUUCAGGAUGGAUUAUUUCUGUGCUUUUGCUCCUACAGUGGUUUACCUGAAGAGGCUCUCCACCCCAUGAAGUGUGAAAAAAAAUGUGGCAGUGUGCUUUCACAAAAUUUUAGACAAUUGAUUACUAUAACUAGCCAUGUAAGUGGUAGAUAAUACCUAACUAACCACAUGCAGGGAUGCUUAAAUUCUCAGAUGCGUCUUAGCCAACUGACAACCUUACUCCUCCCACCUUUUAUUUUAUUAUUUUAUUUUAUUUGAGAGAUGAUAGUUGGGUGGCAGAGAAUAUGCCAGCUCUUGUGCUGUUUUUAACAACAACAAAAAAAGAAGCAGCCUCAUUGAGUAGAGCAAGAUGAGCCAUAUAUUCUGAGAUUAUUUAUAGUGUUUAUUACAGAGAGACCAAAAACACUAAGCACUUAAUAGCUUUCCUUAUUUACAAGUCAGAUUCAUCUGAGGGAUAUUAUUCUUUUAUUUUCCUGGUGCUUGAAGUUGGUUUAAAAUAGAUUAUAAGCGAGGAUACACAGUGACGCAGAAUUUGUUGGCUGUGAAAAUGCAGAAUGGAUGAAGCUUUUCUUUUUUAAUGUGCCGCCACAAAAAAGCCCAUUUUAUUUAGGUAAAAACACUGCUUUUUGCCUAAGUGAAGCCAACACACACACAGGCACAAGGAACAUAGGGCAGGUGCGCAUAUGCAGGUGUGGGGCUCGUCUUUCCCAAGUAGGUAAUAAGUGCAUUCCGUUCAAGUUUGUGGUAAAGUGGGUGUCUAUUCGGCAAAUUAGUUUUCCCCAGUGACUUCUACAGCAAAAACAGCAUUGUCUCCCACUAGCUCUGAGUGUAAAAUACUCUCAGUUAAAAAUACCAAGGAAGAAGAACCAAAGGAAAGAAAGAGCAGCCCUUUAAAUCCAAAGGAAACCCUUUCUGAUGAAGCGUCUAGUGACACUCAAAAAAUUGCCUGGUAGGUAAGCGAUGGUAUAUGACUUGAAUAGCAAAAUGUCAGUAGACAAUGGUAUCACAGCACCGAAGGUGUUACUCUUUUUUUCUCACCCUUUGUCCCCCUGGUCCCGUGGGAAAGAACAGUGACCAAGGCUUUAACAAGUAGGUCAUUUUUAUGGCCUCAGCAUCCUUGUGUCCAUAGUGUAUACACUCGACAUCCAAGUUUUGUUCUGUGAAUCCAUAUACAAGGUGGGUUUCCAGUUGUAAUACAAACAAGUGAUACAAUAAUUAUUUUAGAGAGAGGAGAAAAGAGGGAGAAAGAGGGGGAGGGAAACAUAACUGUGUGGUUGCCUCUCGUGUGCCCCUAACUGGGGACCUGGCCUGCAACCCAGGCGUGUGCCCCGAUUGGGAAUUGAACUGGUGUUCCUUUGGUUUGCAGGCCAGCACUCAAUCCACUGAGCCACACCAGCCAGGGCAGAUAAUACAGUAAUUAAUAAAUGAUACAAGAAUAAACUUUGUGUUUUGUGCACUCGCAACUGGAAGCUGACUGUUGCCUACCCCGUGUUUAUUCUCACUCAGAAAGGCCCAGUGCCGCUUUGCUCCACAGGCCCGGAAGUUAUCAGAGGGCCUCGGUCUAGGUUCUCACAAAGAUCUGCUCGGAGAUCUUUAUUCUUUCCCACUCAAGUUGGUCUGGGAGAGCUUGGGCGAUAAGACCAGUCAUUUGUAUACUUCUUUGAUUUUCUCCCCCAACUUAUGGGUUUAUUUCUCAGGGUCUAGCUUCAUGGGAUUACUGGGCCAGAGAGAAGGCAUUAGCUAAGUCUAAGCAGGCUGGAGUGACUCACCUUUUUCUACUGAGACCCAAGGAGCAAAACCUAGUGCUUGAUUCUUGAGUUUACAAAAACCUCCUCUGGGCUGCUUACUGUGUGCAGGGCGGUGAGGACCCCAGGAUGCGAAUGAGUAUUAGCAGCCCCUGAAAGGACCCUAGGCUGGGAGAGAGGUGCUGGGGGCUCCUCCGGGGCAGAGGCAGAAGACUCGUCUGUUUCAUGAUGCCGUGGUUUAGUUCUUGAAUUCUUCAUAUUCAGAAUGUGGACUCGGGCUGGCUGGCUUGGGCAGCCAGCGUCAUUAAACACCUAGAUGACUGUUGCAUGACUGGCCACAUUUUAAGAUGUAUGUAUUCACGAGAGCUUGUAGGAGCAGAGGGGAUGAGAUGGAGAGUGUCGAACAGAACAGUGUUCUCCAUAAAUGUUCUUCGACUAUGAAAAGAACCGUUCUGUAGAUUUAUUUGUUCGUGCAUUGAAUAUGCAUUUAUUAAGUGCUUUUUGUGUGCCAGGCUCAUUCAUAAUUCUAAAUUUCAGACUCGCUUAUUUUUCAAAUUCAGAGUUUAGCUAAAAGUGUUGUUUUACCCUGAGAAGGGAUUAUAUCAAAUUACACAGUUAAACUGAGGGGGAAAGUCUGUCUCUCCAUCCCUUAAGCCUAGUCCGUUCUCCUGUUGACUGGGCUUGUCAGUCACCUUAGGAGGCAUCGAAAUGUCCUCAGUCCUCGGCCACACUGCAUAGGGUGUCUUGGUAAUGGCUUCAGAAACUUACUGGAAGAGUUUAAGCAGUUGCAUCAGCCUCACUGUUCUCAGACUUGAGGUUUCUUUCCCUCACCACAAACUUAAUUCUUUUCUGUUUUCAAUUUCAGAAGAACUUUGGAAUAAAUGAGGGGAACACAUAAAGUUGGGGAGACCAGCAAAGAAACAGUUGGUGAGGUAGAUAGGGGCGUCGUGUGAGACAGUUAUUUGAAGUUGGAUUUUUACAAAUGUGGUCAGCUCAGCAUUAAUCACGUUUAGCCAGUGAUGUUGUUUUGGGUUGCAUUAUCUGUACAUUUGGAACUUUUUUGUGGUAGGGAAUAUUGACACCCACAUUUUCUUAAAUUAGCCCAUCCCCUUAUUGCUAAAAAAAAAAAUGAAACAAAACAAAACUGUAGGCAUCUGGUAAAAUAUCCUUGUUUUGACAUACUUGAUCUUAACUGUGACUUUAUAAUGGUUUUAUUUCUGGAGAGUUUUGUUCACAUUGGUAUGAUUGAGAAAGAGCAGACAGAUCUUAUGGAAAACAAAUUUAGAAUUUUCCAAAUAAUCAAGUCAGAAGGUUUCCAGUUGUAAUUGUGAGAUGUCCUCUCUUGGUGUCUGGUUUUAGAAACACAUUUUUUUUCCAGGUGUGAAGAACAAUGCUUCGUAGGACAAUGGUGUGACUUUUCCACAGGAGAAUUUUCCAUUUUGCAUUGUGUUUCAGUGCGUGGUAUGAAGGUUUAGAAAUAAACACAGCACUGUGGGCACAACAGGUCUCAGUUGAGACAUCUCCUAUUUUUAAUACAUUUUCCUAUUUUUGGCCUGGCAUGCUGUCUUCGGGUGGGAAAGGCCAGCCACUUGCCUUGCUUUGAGGUCAUAGGUAGCUGUCAGUUCUCUGUAAUGGACUUGAUGAUGUCAUGGUUUUAAAAUAACGGAAAAGUAGCAUUUCUUGUCCACAUGAUUGUGGCUAUAAGCACGCUCUCAUUUUUAGGCUAUUAAUCACACUCUUUUAAAACAAGAAUCCCCUGCCCUCCUCCUUCCCCAGAAGGGAAGUGCCAUAAUCUCAUACACCUAAGUAACACAAAGUAGCUAACAUCCUGCCAUGUUUUGUUUUGUUCUCAGCUUUUGUGACAGCAUGAAGAGGAAGGCAAGGGCGGUAGAGGUUGGGUUGAAAGAGGAGAAGAUGGAGUUGUGAUCCCCAGGGAGGGUGAGAGAUUGUUCGUACAUUAGUGGUAGGGGAACUUCUGCAGAAAAUAGGAAGGUACAAUUAAAUGAGGCUGUUAAAGACACACCAGCAUCAUCUCAUUAAAUGACAGUGGCGAUUUCUUUCUAAGCCCCUUUCUGUCUUUGUCCUCCUGGGAGUGAGUGUUUUCAGGGAUGAAAGCAGAGUUGCAAAGACCAGGAAGACGGCCAGGGAAGAGAUGCGGUGACUUGACGCCCGCUCCCUCACUCCCUUCUUCAGGGGCUGGUUCUCUUAUGCAGAGACUGCAGGAAAGCAAGGGCCCCAGAUACUCAUUCUUGCCUGUGGACGUGGAGAAUGAAAAUGGGCCAUCCUAGGGGGAGAUCUGGUAUUGCAUCCCAAAGCACGGCUGACUUCAUAGCAGAUACCUGUGUAGAAAUGCAUCCGAUUGGAGAUAACACAGAAUGGAAAAUUGUGGGUUAGGAUAUUUUUAUUCCGAAAGGAAACUGAAUUCGCAUUUGGCAAUCUUGUGCCGAAAAAGUAUAAAAAAUGUGUUUCUUUUUUAGGGAAACAGUGUGUUGCACAAAUCACUUGGAAUCUGAUUACCUGUGUGACUCAGUGAGAAUGUCAAGGCUUGAGGGUCAAGUGUGCUUGAUGUCAAACAGUGUUGCUGGUGGUUUAGUGGAAACUCUGUCCUGGCACCUUUUUUUGUGUCACUUGUCUAAGUCCCCAUUUCCUCACCAGUAAGCGGGGUUCCCAGUAUAUAUUUUACUGUAGUUGCUCUGUGAGCUUAAGUAAGAUGUGGAAUGGAAAGGAUUUAGCACAGUGCAUGAGGUAAGAGAAAGUACUCCUCUAACUAUUAACUAGUUUUUAUUGUCAAUUUAAUUUUAGGACCGAAAACACUUGGUGAUCUUAUCAGUUUACUGAAGGGUUAGACUGUGAGGAAGCUGAGACCCAGAGAGAUGAUGUGUUAAUUAGUGAAAGGGCCAGAAUUAGAAUCCAGAUCUUAUGACCUCCCACUGGACCAGGGUCUGUCCCCCUCCUGCCUCCGUCACAGUGGUACACAGUUGCUGUGCAGUUUGUAAAGGAAGAUGCACUGUUAAUUCUGUCUCAUUUCCUGGGCAUUACACACGUCCUGGGAGCAUGUGAACUUUUACACUUGGCCUCAGCACCUUCCCCACCCUCUGCUGUGGUAUAUGAUGUGCGAUUAUUACGUAUUUCAGAAUGCAGGUUUAAGGUCUCUGUAUUACUGAGGUUCUCUGGUGGCAGAAACUCCUGCGACUUUGCAGGCAUUGUCAUUGUCUGAAUUUUAAAAGAGCCACCUUCAGAGAAGAAAUCAUACUUUUCCAUUAUGCCUGCGGCCUGCGGAACACCAUUUAAACUCUAAGUGAUAGAGAAAGGGCAAGUAUUUGAUUAAAACCAAUCUCCCUCCAAGACUGAACUUUUCGGUCUCCAUCAGACUUUCUUUACGGGAGCUUCCGUGUGUUUUGCUGGUGGCAAGAUCCAAUUUACGGGGAAGUGAAAGGAGAGGUGAUUAUUUUUUUAAUUCAUCUGUGAGCUUCCAGACGGGCACAGAAUGUAAAAACGGCGUUAGACAACAGAAGAAGUUGAGUGCUUUAGAAAUCGAUGACAUGUCUUGUACUUCAAGGAAACAGUUGUUGGAUCCGAAUUUGGGACGGCACAGAGUUCUCACUGAUAACAGGCAAGGGGCGGAGUCAGCUGGACAUCCGGGAAGUGCACAGAUGACCUGACCGGGUGGAAGCGUCCUCUCCUCGCAGCUGUCUGCACUGCUCUCGGGACUGAGAUCUCUCUGGAAUAUUCACCUUUCCCCUUCGAAUCAUUGUCUCUGCUGUUUCUCCUGCUGGCACAUCAACUGCCAUUAGCUUCACCUCCACCUAAGUGUUCGCUUCCUUUGAUCUCUUUCAAGAGUCAACAGAGGCACAGAAACUUGGAACAGACUGACAGCUGCAGGAGGGGAGGGCGGAGGUGGGGACUGGAUGAAAGGAGGGAGGUGAAGGGAGUAGC